UAUGAUAGAGGCGCAGGUUUCAAGAGUAUAACACUGCACAAGGCAGGGCAGCCGCAGUGUUAGAAAGGGGAAACUGCCGAAGAAGUGAGAUCCGCCCGGGAUGUUGCUUCUGGGAUGUUGCAGAAUAUGCAGCAGACUGUCACGGAAUCGUGGAGCGCUAUCA
rnacentral:ncRNA from 1 species